rnacentral:rRNA from 1 species
ACGGCUCAGUAACACGUGGAUAACCUGCCCUUGGGUCCGGCAUAACCCCGGGAAACUGGGGAUAAUUCCGGAUAACGCACAUAUGCUGGAAUGCUUUUUGCGUAAAAUGGAUUCGUCUGCCCAAGGAUGGGUCUGCGGCCUAUCAGGUAGUAGUGGGUGUAAUGUACCUACUAGCCUACGACGGGUACGGGUUGUGAGAGCAAGAGCCCGGAGAUGGAUUCUGAGACAUGAAUCCAGGCCCUACGGGGCGCAGCAGGCACGAAAACUUUACAAUGCGGGAAACCGUGAUAAGGGGACACCGAGUGCCAGCGUCAUACGCUGGCUGUCCAGGUGUGUAAAAUACACCUGUUAGCAAGGGCCGGGCAAGACCGGUGCCAGCCGCCGCGGUAACACCGGCGGCCCGAGUGGUGAUCGUGAUUAUUGGGUCUAAAGGGUCCGUAGCCGGUUUGGUCAGUCCUCCGGGAAAUCUGACAGCUUAACUGUUAGGCUUUCGGAGGAUACUGCCAGACUUGGAACCGGGAGAGGUAAGAGGUACUACAGGGGUAGGAGUGAAAUCUUGUAAUCCCUGUGGGACCACCUGUGGCGAAGGCGUCUUACCAGAACGGGUUCGACGGUGAGGGACGAAAGCUGGGGGCACGAACCGGAUUAGAUACCCGGGUAGUCCCAGCCGUAAACGAUGCUCGCUAGGUGUCAGGCAUGGCGCGACCGUGUCUGGUGCCGCAGGGAAGCCGUGAAGCGAGCCACCUGGGAAGUACGGCCGCAAGGCUGAAACUUAAAGGAAUUGGCGGGGGAGCAC